CCUACGGGAGGCAGCAGUGGGGGAUAUUGCACAAUGGGGGAAACCCUGAUGCAGCGACGCCGCGUGGGUGAAGAAGCGCCUCGGCGCGUAAAGCCCUGUCAGCAGGGAAGAAAAUGGCGGUACCUGAAGAAGAAGCCCCGGCUAACUACGUGCCAGCAGCCGCGGUAAUACGUAGGGGGCAAGCGUUAUCCGGAUUUACGGGGUGUAAAGGGGGCGCAGACGGCGAUGCAAGCCAGGAGUGAAAGCCCGGGGCCCAACCCCGGGACUGCACUUGGAACUGCGUGGCUAGAGUGCAGGAGGGGUAGGCGGAAUUCCUGGUGUAGCGGUGAAAUGCGUAGAUAUCAGGAGGAACACCGGUUGCGAAGGCGGCCUGCUGGACUGCAACUGACGUUGAGGCUCGAAAGCGUGGGGAGCAAACAGGAUUAGAUACCCGAGUAGUC
rnacentral:rRNA from 1 species